rnacentral:rRNA from 1 species
GAGUUUGAUCGUGGCUCAGACUGAACGCUGGCGGCAUGCCUUACACAUGCAAGUCGAACGGCAGCAUGAUCUAGCUUGCUAGAUUGAUGGCGAGUGGCGAACGGGUGAGUAAUACAUCGGAACGUGCCCUGUAGUGGGGGAUAACUAGUCGAAAGAUUAGCUAAUACCGCAUACGACCUGAGGGUGAAAGUGGGGGACCGCAAGGCCUCAUGCUAUAGGAGCGGCCGAUGUCUGAUUAGCUAGUUGGUGGGGUAAAGGCCCACCAAGGCGACGAUCAGUAGCUGGUCUGAGAGGACGAUCAGCCACACUGGGACUGAGACACGGCCCAGACUCCUACGGGAGGCAGCAGUGGGGAAUUUGGACAAUGGGCGAAAGCCUGAUCCAGCAAUGCCGCGUGUGUGAAGAAGGCCUCGGUUGUAAGUACACUUUGUUCCGGUAACGAAAGUAGGACGUCUGGUUAAG